CCAGCCGUUUCUCGAUGUCCCACAAGAAGUCCCGGUGAACCGCACUGAUGUUUUAGAAGCGGCGCAGUUUGCUGUGGUUGAAUUCAACAAAGCCAACACAGAAGACCUGUUUAAUUACGCAAUUCUGGACAUUACAUCGGCUCAAGUUCAGGUUGUCCAAGGUUUGAACUACUUCCUGGAAAUGCUCCUGGAACGUACAACGUGCAAGACCGGCAACACUGCUGCUAUCAAGGCAACGCUGCUG